UACGUAGGGGGCAAGCGUUGUCCGGAUUUAUUGGGCGUAAAGAGCGUGUAGGCGGCCAGACAGGUCUGCUGUGAAAACUCGAGGCUCAACCUCGAGACGCCGGUGGAAACCGUCUGGCUAGAGUCCGGAAGAGGAGAGUGGAAUUCCUGGUGUAGCGGUGGAAUGCGCAGAUAUCAGGAGGAACACCAAUAGCGAAGGCAGCUCGCUGGGACGUUACUGACACUGAGGCGCGAAAGCGUGGGGAGCGAACAGG
rnacentral:rRNA from 1 species